rnacentral:lncRNA from 1 species
CCUCCGCGUAGCGGAGAAAACGGGGUGAAGGCAGGGACCUCGUCUGGACAGUGGCUGGAAAAAGCCUACCCUGACCUCCACUCUGAUCCAAUCCAAGUAAAAAAAAAAGAUUAAGCAUUCGUUUAACAAGCAUUUAACCAGAAACAUAACCGAAAGUCAUAAACUGUCAUGUAAGUUGAGAAAAUGUAGGUUAAUGGUGAGACUGUGGCCUCUGAGCCGCUUUGCCACCAUCUGCCAUGACAACGUCCUCCGGAAGUCCAUUCUAAUCACACACACUUGGACUGGACCUGAACUGGGACUCACAAACAACAACAUAAAAGCAUCACAUUUCACAAAAAUUACAAUGAUGAAUUUUUUCCCUCCCUCUGAUCUUCAUGCUGCUUCCAAAAUCUCUGCAUGUCUAACAGACAUCUCGUCUUGGAUGGCAGCCCAUCACCUCCAACUCAAUCCCACCAAAACUGAACUAAUAUUCAUUCCAGCAGAUUCUUCACCACAUCAGGAUCUUGCUAUUUACCUAGACAACUCGCAGCUCUCUCCUUCUACAACAGCCCACAACCUCGGAGUAACAAUAGACAACCAACUCUCCUUCUCAACUCACAUCAGCAACCUUUCCCGCUCAUGUAGAUUCCGUCUCUACAAUAUCAGACGAAUCCGCCCUUAUCUGUCAACCCAGGCCACCCAACUACUGGUUCAGUCCUUAGUAAUCUCACGACUGGACUACUGCAACUCCCUUCUAGCUAGUCUACCACUAUGUACCAUCCGACCUCUACAACUACUACAAAAUGCAGCAGCACGACUGAUCUUCAACCUUCCCAAAUUCUCCCACACCACCCCUCUGCUACGUUCCCUCCACCGGCUCCCAGUAGCUGCACGCAUCAGGUUCAAAAUACUGAUGCUGGCCUACAAAGCCAAACAUGGAGUAGCACCAUCCUACCUCACAGCCCUUAUUACACCCCGCACUGCACCUCGUAUACUCCGAGCCUCCAGUACUGCUCGCCUGGUCCCUCCAUCUCUGAAGGUAAAAGGAAGACGCUCAUCUAGACUCUUCUCCGUCUUGGCCCCUCGGUGGUGGAAUGAACUUCCAGCUCAGUCACUG